UUCAUCUUUGCUGCCUAGUCCAUCAUUUCUGAUCUAAUAGAUGUUCACAAGCUCAGGUAAAGAAUUGGAGCCUACUCUAAUUGAAAUAUCAUCUCGAAGUUCUAGUGCACAUGGAAAAUUAAACCGAGUUUUGUUUAUGGAUGAAGUUGUGGAUUGUUCCUUUAAAAGUUCCUGCAACAUUUUCUACUGUGUCUUCUUCCUCUUCUGGACUUACUAUAUCUUUGUCUAUCCUGCUAAAGUGCUUCGUCUGCUUUAAUGGUUAUUAUAGAAGCAUUUUUGUAUUACGCCUAUUAUCAAAAAACUAAUUUUGGUCUUUUACUAUUUUUUUGGAAAUAAGUAACUUACUUAGGACUUCCACUUAUCAUUCAGAAUUUGUUGUCGUUCUGCUUUUCUUAGAGCUGAAGGAGAAAUAGAAAAGGUGAAGAAUCUCGAGUUCUCAAUUGUGUAUGCUCUCAGGUGGUAAUAUAAUUAUAUCGGGUAGCUACUAGGAUUCGGUUCCUAUAUAGACAUGUUGGAUGAAAGAUACAUCUUUUAGAGCUUGUGGAAAUUUUUUUUGGAGGUUUGGAAGUGUCUUACUUAUACGUCCGCAACCAGGUUGAAUGAAAGAUGGAUCUCUCAGAGCUUAAGGAAAAAUAUCAUCAUCUCUAGAGGUUUGAAAGUUGGAAUUUGUUUGUUAGAAUUAUUACAAACAACUCUUCAUUUGAAGGACAUUUCAUAAUCGUUUGAAUAUUUCUAUAAACUUUGUUCCUCAAUCCAAGUAUUGUGAAGUGUUAAUAUGUUGUAAACAUGAGAUUU